rnacentral:rRNA from 1 species
UACAUGUGGGGCAAGCGUUGUUCGGAAUUACUGGGCAUAAAGGGUGCGUAGGUGGCUUGUUAAGUCAGGGGUGAAAGUUUUCGGCCCAACCGGAAAAUGGCCUUUGAUACCGGCGAGCUCGAGUGCGUGAGGGGUAACCGGAACGAGCAGUGUAGCGGUGAAAUGCGUAGAUAUUGCUCGGAAGGCCAACGGCGAAGGCAGGUUACUGGUGCGCAACUGACACUGAGGCACGAAAGCGUGGGGAGCAAACAGG